rnacentral:rRNA from 1 species
GACGAACGCUGGCGGCGUGCUUAACACAUGCAAGUCGAACGGAAAGGCCCCGCUUUUGUGGGGUGCUCGAGUGGCGAACGGGUGAGUAACACGUGAGUAACCUGCCCUUGACUUUGGGAUAACUUCAGGAAACUGGGGCUAAUACCGGAUAGGAGCUCCUGCUGCAUGGUGGGGUUGGAAAGUUUCGGCGGUUGGGGAUGGACUCGCGGCUUAUCAGCUUGUUGGUGGGGUAGUGGCUUACCAAGGCUUUGACGGGUAGCCGGCCUGAGAGGGUGACCGGCCACAUUGGGACUGGGAUACGGCCCAGACUCCUACGGGAGGCAGCAGUGGGGAAUAUUGCACAAUGGGCGGAAGCCUGAUGCAGCAACGCCGCGUGCGGGAUGACGGCCUUCGGGUUGUAAACCGCUUUCGCCUGUGACGAAGCGUGAGUGACGGUAAUGGGUAAAGAAGCACCGGCUAACUACGUG